rnacentral:rRNA from 11 species
ACCCACAGGUUGAGAACCACUGCCCUAAAGGAACCUGAUCAUCUCUGAUCUUGGAAGCUAAGGAGGGUCAGCCCUGGUCAACUCUGGCUAGCACAUAGGGUGAUGACCAAUGAAUACCAGGUUCUGUGGGCU